AGAGUGUAGCUAAGACAGCUAAAGCAUCUCCCUUACACUGAGAAGUCACCCGUGCAAAUCGGGUCACCCUGA
rnacentral:tRNA from 1 species